AUCUCUCAACCGAUUUGGGCGAUUCUAAAGGCAAAAUUGUGAGAUUUUUCGAGGACAACGCGUUGGUGAGCUUGGAUAGUGAUUUGGGGUCCCCGUUUGAGCCAUUCUAGGUCCGAUUUCAGUGAUUUUUUGAGGCUAUCUUGAGUGGUUUUUCGAGGAGAACGUCGUGGUGUUGUCGCAUUUCAAUGUAGACCUCCAGUUUCUGCGGGGCAGCGUUUCGAGGACAUUUGGAAAGGGAAAGCUCCGAAGAAGUGAUUUUGGAGCGCGUGUGAUCGGCUUACAGGUAGGCUACGGUUUCCCUCUCUUAGAUUGAGCUUGAGAGUGUGAAUGCAUGUUGAUUAGUUGGGAUUUGGGUUGGUAGUGAUUGAAUCAUGCAUAGGUGUUUGGAAAUCAUGUUUUCGGCCUAUUUCAAGAACU